UUGCACUGUUCGUAACCUGCUAACAGUAUCUUUCUGAUAAUGGGUUCCAUUCCAGUGCUACAUAAUACCCCAAGGUAACAGAAGGCUGGCUGUUUGUUUGCUUGUCUCUUUUUAUUUUGGGGGACAUAA
rnacentral:snoRNA from 1 species